ACACUUUGAAAGAAGGCCUUUGUUAUUAGGCACUUUGUGCAUACUUUUUAAAGGUCUAACUUUGGGAGCCCACCUGCAUCACCACCUUCUAAAAUGAAUUUAACUGGACUGUUGUAUUAUCUAUCAGGACUAAGAAAUGUGUUCAGUGAGAUGGAACAAUUUACCAAUUCAGCUUCUGGACUAUGAAACUUCUUAAAGUUUCAAAGGUUCCUGAAAUGCAAAUAACUCGACAUUAACAAAGAACAAGAAAUCCUGGCCCCGAAAUUAUCUGGUGAAAUUGCCUGCCCCUAGGAGUGCAGGGCAUCGAGGGGAAACAACAGGAAGUGGAGCAGCAGCAUCUGACCUCUCCAUCACCGCCCUAAAACCACAAUAAAGGCUCUUGCCUGUGUUUCCACCUCCUCCUGACUGGCCCUGGUGCUUCCCCGUGUGGCCCCCUGUGGUGUGUCGUGCCCCCCUCCUCUUGGGAACUGUGCUGGAAAACCUGACCCUGCUUGGCUGCGGGAAAAUAAAAUGUGGUGUAUUUUCUCGUGUAACCUGGGAGGCUAAAG
rnacentral:lncRNA from 1 species